rnacentral:rRNA from 1 species
UACGGAGGGGGCUAGCGUUGUUCGGAAUUACUGGGCGUAAAGCGCGCGUUGGCGGCUUGACAAGUUGGAGGUGAAAGCCCGGAGCUCAACUUCGGAAUUGCCUUCAAGACUGUCUCGCUCGAGGCAGGGAGAGGAGAGCGGAAUACCCAGUGUAGAGGUGAAAUUCGUAGAUAUUGGGUGGAACACCGGUGGCGAAGGCGGCUCUCUGGCCCUGAUCUGACGCUAAGGCGCGAAAGCGUGGGGAGCAAACAGGAUUAGAUACCCUGGUAGUCCACGCCGUAAACUAUGAGUGCUAGAUGUUGGGAGGUUUACUUCUCAGUGUCGCAGCUAACGCAUUAAGCACUCCGCCUGGGGAGUACGGCCGCAAGGUUAAA